CGUAACACGUGAGCAACCUGCCCAAAAGAGGGGGAUAGCCCGAGGAAACUCGGAUUAAUACCGCGUAUGGUCCGGAAAGGCAUCUUUCCAGGAUUAAAGGUGGGGAUCACUUCGGUGACCUGCCGCUUUUGGAUGGGCUCGCGGCCUAUCAGCUUGUUGGUGAGGUAAAGGCUCACCAAGGCUACGACGGGUAACUGGUCUGAGAGGACGAUCAGUCACACUGGAACUGAGACACGGUCCAG
rnacentral:rRNA from 1 species